UACGGGGGGGGCAAGCGUUGUUCGGAAUUACUGGGCGUAAAGGGCUCGUAGGUGGCCAACUAAGUCAUACGUGAAAUCCCUCGGCUUAACCGGGGAACUGCGUCUGAUACUGGAUGGCUUGAGGUUGGGAGAGGGAUGCGGAAUUCCAGGUGUAGCGGUGAAAUGCGUAGAUAUCUGGAGGAACGCCGGUGGCGAAAGCGCGCUGCUGGACCUCUUCUGACGCUGAUGCGCGAAAGCCAGGGGAGCGAACAGG
rnacentral:rRNA from 1 species